rnacentral:lncRNA from 1 species
GCGAGAUUUUACAGUAAAAUAAUGGAUUAUGUUGCUGCCAGAAGUGGCAGCGUCGGAGAGGACGAUGUUGUUGUUGAUGCGGCGGGAGGUGGAAAGUGGGAAGAAGAGAGUGUUAAGCUGUGUGAGGAGGUGUGUGGAGUAGAAGGGGGAGGAGGACGUCGGUGGUGAGAGGGAGAGGGUUGUGGUUGCCGCUCGUGGAUGGUGGAGAGUGGUGGCGGUGAUGAUGA